AGAGUUUGAUCAUGGCUCAGAUUGAACGCUGGCGGCAGGCCUAACACAUGCAAGUCGAACGGUAACAGGAAACAGCUUGCUGUUUCGCUGACGAGUGGCGGACGGGUGAGUAAUGUCUGGGAAACUGCCUGAUGGAGGGGGAUAACUACUGGAAACGGUAGCUAAUACCGCAUAACGUCGCAAGACCAAAGAGGGGGACCUUCGGGCCUCUUGCCAUCAGAUGUGCCCAGAUGGGAUUAGCUAGUAGGUGGGGUAACGGCUCACCUAGGCGACGAUCCCUAGCUGGUCUGAGAGGAUGACCAGCCACACUGGAACUGAGACACGGUCCAGACUCCUACGGGAGGCAGCAGUGGGGAAUAUUGCACAAUGGGCGCAAGCCUGAUGCAGCCAUGCCGCGUGUAUGAAGAAGGCCUUCGGGUUGUAAAGUACUUUCAGCGGGGAGGAAGGGAGUAAAGUUAAUACCUUUGCUCAUUGACGUUACCCGCAGAAGAAGCACCGGCUAACUCCGUGCCAGCAGCCGCGGUAAUACGGAGGGUGCAAGCGUUAAUCGGAAUUACUGGGCGUAAAGCGCACGCAGGCGGUUUGUUAAGUCAGAUGUGAAAUCCCCGGGCUCAACCUGGGAACUGCAUCUGAUACUGGCAAGCUUGAGUCUCGUAGAGGGGGGUAGAAUUCCAGGUGUAGCGGUGAAAUGCGUAGAGAUCUGGAGGAAUACCGGUGGCGAAGGCGGCCCCCUGGACGAAGACUGACGCUCAGGUGCGAAAGCGUGGGGAGCAAACAGGAUUAGAUACCCUGGUAGUCCACGCCGUAAACGAUGUCGACUUGGAGGUUGUGCCCUUGAGGCGUGGCUUCCGGAGCUAACGCGUUAAGUCGACCGCCUGGGGAGUACGGCCGCAAGGUUAAAACUCAAAUGAAUUGACGGGGGCCCGCACAAGCGGUGGAGCAUGUGGUUUAAUUCGAUGCAACGCGAAGAACCUUACCUGGUCUUGACAUCCACGGAAGUUUUCAGAGAUGAGAAUGUGCCUUCGGGAACCGUGAGACAGGUGCUGCAUGGCUGUCGUCAGCUCGUGUUGUGAAAUGUUGGGUUAAGUCCCGCAACGAGCGCAACCCUUAUCCUUUGUUGCCAGCGGUCCGGCCGGGAACUCAAAGGAGACUGCCAGUGAUAAACUGGAGGAAGGUGGGGAUGACGUCAGGUCAUCAUGGCCCUUACGACCAGGGCUACACACGUGCUACAAUGGCGCAUACAAAGAGAAGCGACCUCGCGAGAGCAAGCGGACCUCAUAAAGUGCGUCGUAGUCCGGAUUGGAGUCUGCAACUCGACUCCAUGAAGUCGGAAUCGCUAGUAAUCGUGGAUCAGAAUGCCACGGUGAAUACGUUCCCGGGCCUUGUACACACCGCCCGUCACACCAUGGGAGUGGGUUGCAAAAGAAGUAGGUAGCUUAACCUUCGGGAGGGCGCUUACCACUUUGUGAUUCAUGACUGGGGUGAAGUCGUAACAAGGUAACCGUAGGGGAACCUGCGGUUG
rnacentral:rRNA from 1 species